AGUGAACGCUGGCGGUAGGCCUAACACAUGCAAGUCGAACGGCAGCACAGUAAGAGCUUGCUCUUACGGGUGGCGAGUGGCGGACGGGUGAGGAAUACAUCGGAAUCUACUUUUUCGUGGGGGAUAACGUAGGGAAACUUACGCUAAUACCGCAUACGACCUACGGGUGAAAGCAGGGGAUCUUCGGACCUUGCGCGAUUGAAUGAGCCGAUGUCGGAUUAGCUAGUUGGCGGGGUAAAGGCCCACCAAGGCGACGAUCCGUAGCUGGUCUGAGAGGAUGAUCGGCCACACUGGAACUGAGACACGGUCCAGACGCCUACGGGAGGCAGCAGUGGGGAAUAUUGGACAAUGGGCGCAAGCCUGAUCCAGCCAUACCGCGUGGGUGAAGAAGGCCUUCGGGUUGUAAAGCCCUUUUGUUGGGGAAGAAAAGCAGCAGGUUAAUACCCCGCUGUUCUGACGGUACCCAAAGAAUAAGCACCGGCUAACUUCGUG
rnacentral:rRNA from 1 species